rnacentral:rRNA from 1 species
UCUGGUGACUAUAGCAAGGAGGUCACACCUGUUCCCAUGCCGAACACAAAGGAGGUCACACCUGUUCCCAUGCCGAACACAGAAGUUAAGCUCCUUAGCGUCGAUGGUAGUCGAACUUACGUUCCGCUAGAGUAGAACGUUGCCAGGC